AGACAUGUGGUACCUCGUGAAUUUUCCUAGAUUGUUAAAACGUCCUGUCUAAAUAUGCCGUAGACGAUUAGACGAGAAUAUCGAACGACACGGACGGGCUAUAUGUCGACGAGCCACGUGGACCAGGUGCUUGGAAGAAGUUGCUUCAGUCAACUGUCGCAGUGUGUGAUUAGAGUCAGCGUGAAGUUGUUCGCUCGGCACCUGUGCUCUCUCUGUCUCUUUGGCCGUUUAGCGGGUCAUUAGAGCCGUCAGGUCAAGGCGAAGGCUAGACUUGGGAGCAGGGGAGCGAGGGGCGGCGGUGGUCUCGUCAACUUGUGCUCGCGCUACACCCCCGAUCCCAAAUCCACCGACGACGACGACGACGACCGCAAGCGCCGCCGCCACCUCGACCUCCGCGCCAAACACCACCUCUUCUUGUCGGACUACCAGUGCAGCGGCUGUCGAGACGCCCCCGCCGUGCUAUCGCGGUAUCCGUUGAAGCCGUAGGGCGUCAUGCCGCCCUCGUACCGACCACGGCAGCAGAUAGGGUUCCCGUUGAGUCUGCGGACGCUCCGGAAGUUGUCGCCGUCCUUCCUCGUGGAGAAGGCGUGGUUCGGACCUCGCGAGGGGUCGAAGGAAGAGUAUCUGGCGCCUUUAACGGACAAACGAUUCUUCCAGACCUUACGUGUUAUACGACCACGGAGUCGUCACGAACAUCAACUACUGUUCCUACUCGGUGACUAUUGUUACCUGAAUGAAGUCCUUCUACUACUCCGACGUUUUAUAUAUGUCUUGUAUAGGUAAGGAAGACGAAAUUAACUAUUCUUUAAACCUCUUGUUAACUUCUUCCGACAAUUUCUACCACUUUACCAUUUACACUUAGAACUAACCUCCCUCCGACAGGGUGUAGGACUAUUGGCUCAACUCAUACUCAACACCUGUUUAUCGUUACUACUUACACCCGGAUUUACACUAUACGAAUACGUAAAAGACUUCCUUAAAUUCCCUCGACGCGUCAAUGAACUUUUUCCACCAAUAUCAGUCAAGUGUGGGGUAAUAUAAUGAACCAUAACGGGAGUUCGUAAACAACAGUCGUUUGUUACGUUCAGGGUCACAUAUUUGGUACCUUCCAUAACACGUGGACUAGGUCUUGUUCUAAAAUCAUGACCGAUACUACCUUUUCUACAACAACAUCUCUUGAACUCUGUCGAAACACACAAAUUACAACGUUUACUCUAUUUUUUCGGUACCUAGACCACCCUAAUACACUGACUAAAAGUGUAUUCCACGGGUUACUUCCUCUUCUUCAUAUUGUUUUUCACGCGUCUUUGUCAGUAAUUUAGUGAUCCAAACCUUCACUUCUUCUAACUAUUCACGUACCCUCUAGGUUUACUACUAAGACUGGUGGGAAAUGAAUUUUACCUCGUCCUGAGAGUCUAACCCUUUCCCAGUUCUCCUCUACAAUGGUAUAACGGAUGAGAACAACACUUGUUAGCUGUUAUAGCUCCUUUCGAUCCUUCCUUUCGACAGGAGUUUCGAUAAACACGACCGAAACUCCUUUGAUGACUCGGUUUACAAACAGACUCACUACUGUACCUUUGUUUGCUCACAGACUCGCUAUUACCUCCAACGACCGUUCUGUUUCGACGAUUACAUUGUCGAACAUCCCUGUGAAAAGCACCGUCUCACACACUUACGGGGUGUAAGUUACCGCACGUUAAAUUUCCUCUACCGAUGUCGUUGACACUUGGGCGACCAGGACCUUUUACGAACUAUUUGGUACCACCCACGACCGUACUUUGAGCGUUACCUUUUUGUAAGAGACGAACAGUCCUUAGUCCUCUAGUUUUAACGUUCACAGGUCGACCAAAGGCUCCCCUGCCACAAUUUUUUACAGUACUAUAACUGCUCACGUUCCUCUCUUUUCGAACGGUCACAGGACUUACGUCGACGUCUCUAUGUACCCCACCGAUACUAACAUGAACAUCACCGCUGGAAAACAUGUAGUUCCUCGUGCUGUGAACGUAUUCAUUCUGUUGUCAAGUCCGAUUUCGUCGUACCCGACGACACACCCCCUAGAACCAUCGGAACCAAUAACACCGCCGUCCUUCGAUACACCAUAUGUUUAUGUCUUAUUCCAGUAUGUACCUGAGACUCUAAUCUCGAUAGUACCGUGUCAUGUACGGUGACCUGUCAGUUCCUCUCCAGGGUUUACUAAGUGUGCUUCUAGUAGGUGAACGAGUGAUUGACUUGGACAUGUUGAUUGUAUCCGUCUUUACACCAAACUUGUCGCAACUUUAUAUGUCUUACGUAUGUUUCCACUUACCGUCGCACUAAAAUCUCAGACUGUACUUACACUCUGAGUGCGUGUUUAAAUAGAUCUCGUGAAAGUGGAAUGUCCAGUACCGUUGAGGUAGAGGCCAUUAUAAUUGUCUAAGAUAUUACUCGUCUGCAAGCGAGUCGAGCAGGGACCUCGCUGGGUUGGUGUUGUACACCCCAUCAAUCAACGUAUGUACGUACACUACUACGUUCGAUUAAAGUUGAAAAAAAUUUGGUUUUUUACAAAACACAUGGUUUGGUAUACGGGUUAAGUGUCACACAAAUUCGACAACCGAAACAUAACAGUUCCCGAAGCAUUGAUCUAAGGUGAGCACUUACAAAAACGUUUGGAAAAAAAAAUGGGAUUUCAACGGUGGGGUACUAUUUACUUCAAAGGUAGCACAACCGUAAUAAUGAUACACCGUUGAUACUAUAGUUGUGUUACCGUUGAAUUAAUUAAUAACCCACUCUUGAAAAUUCUACCUAA
rnacentral:rRNA from 1 species